GNUUCAANGAGGAAGAAGNUGGGGAUGACGUCAAGUCAGUAUGGCCCUUACGGCCAGGGNUGCACACGUANUACAAUGCCCGGUACAAAGGGAAGCAAGACUGUAAAGUGGAGCAAAUCCCCCAAAACCGGGCCCAGUUCAGAUUGUCGUCUGCAACUCGACGGCAUGAAGCUGGAAUCGCUAGUAAUGGCGCAUCAGCUACGGCGCCGUGAAUACGUUUCCCAGGCCUUGUACACACCGCCCGUCACAUCAUGAAAGCCGGUUG
rnacentral:rRNA from 1 species